AGUGAACGCUGGCGGCAGGCCUAAUACAUGCAAGUCGAACGGCAGCACAGCAGAGCUUGCUCUGUGGGUGGCGAGUGGCGGACGGGUGAGGAAUACGUGGGAAUCUGCCCAGUCGUGGGGGAUAACGUAGGGAAACUUACGCUAAUACCGCAUGCGCCUUCGGGGAAAGCCGGGGACCUUCGGGCCUGGCGCGAUUGGAUGAGCCCAGUCGGAUUAGCUAGUUGGCGGGUAAAGGCCCACCAAGGCGACGAUCCGUAGCUGGUCUGAGAGGAUGAUCAGCCACACUGGAACUGAGACACGGUCCAGUCUCCUACGGGAGCAGCAGUAGGGAAUAUUGGACAAUGGGCGCAAGCCUGAUCCAGCCAUGCCGCGUGAGUGAAGAAGGCCCUCGGGUUGUAAAGCUCUUUUG
rnacentral:rRNA from 1 species